rnacentral:rRNA from 1 species
GCAAGUCUGGUGCCAGCAGCCCCCGGUAAUUACAGCUCCAAUAGCGUAUAUUAAAGUUGAUGCAGUUAAAAAGCUCGCAGCUGAACCUUAUGUUUGGCUGACCGGUCCGCCUCACCGAGUGCACUGGCUAGGCCGGAUCUUUCCUUUUGGCAAACCCCAUGUUUUUCAUUAGGUGUGUUGGGGAACCAGGACUUUUAC